UACGAACCGUACAAACGUUAUUCGGAAUUACUGGGCGUAAAGCGUGCGCAGGCGGUUUGCUAAGAGAGAUGUGAAAUCCCCGGGCUUAACCUGGGAACUGCGUUUCUAACUGGCAGGCUUGAGUGUGGCAGAGGGGGGUGGAAUUCCACGUGUAGCAGUGAAAUGCGUAGAGAUGUGGAGGAACACCGAUGGCGAAGGCAGCCCCCUGGGCUAACACUGACGCUCAUGCACGAAAGCGUGGGGAGCAAACGGG
rnacentral:rRNA from 1 species